CUCAAGAGUCUUCUUCCAUAACAAAAUUAAAAUUCUUCUUUUCUAGCUUUCUCCUUUUUAGUUGAAUCUUCUGAUCUUAGUUAACGAUUUUGAGCUAGCAGAAGGUCUAACCAAUUAUACCUAGUUUCUGUUAUUCUCUGCAUGAUAUUAGAGCCAUAACCACACGUUGCCUUUGAAAGUGUAUUUCAAGAUCGAGUUAGUGGUAGUUCAAUUGAUUUGUACGAAUGGAUUUAAGUGGUCGCUUUAAUGGACUGUGAAUGGAGUUGUUACAUCAGUCCAGUUACAAGGUAUUGAAGACAUGU
rnacentral:lncRNA from 1 species